UAUUAAAAAUUUCAUUUAUUUGUACUGUUAAAAAUUGGUGUGAUUGACGAAAUAACCAAACAAUGACAUGUGGUGUGCCAUGUGCACGUCAUGUUGACGUACAAAUGCCAAUUUUUAAUAGUAAAAAAUGAUGAAAUUUUUAAUA
rfam:Gossypium raimondii Chr04_contig_924, whole genome shotgun sequence.